rnacentral:rRNA from 1 species
UUUAAAUUGAGAGUUUGAUCCUGGCUCAGGAUGAACGCUGGUGGCGUGCCUAAUACAUGCAAGUCGUACGCUAGCCGCUGAAUUGAUCCUUCGGGUGAAGUGAGGCAAUGACUAGAGUGGCGAACUGGUGAGUAACACGUAAGAAACCUGCCCUUUAGUGGGGGAUAACAUUUGGAAACAGAUGCUAAUACCGCGUAACAACAAAUCACACAUGUGAUCUGUUUGAAAGGUCCUUUUGGAUCGCUAGAGGAUGGUCUUGCGGCGUAUUAGCUUGUUGGUAGGGUAGAAGCCUACCAAGGCAAUGAUGCGUAGCCGAGUUGAGAGACUGGCCGGCCACAUUGGGACUGAGACACUGCCCAAACUCCUACGGGAGGCUGCAGUAGGGAAUUUUCCGCAAUGCACGAAAGUGUGACGGAGCGACGCCGCGUGUGUGAUGAAGGCUUUCGGGUCGUAAAGCACUGUUGUAAGGGAAGAAUAACUGAAUUCAGAGAAAGUUUUCAGCUUGACGGUACCUUACCAGAAAGGGAUGGCUAAAUACGUGCCAGCAGCCGCGGUAAUACGUAUGUCCCGAGCGUUAUCCGGAUUUAUUGGGCGUAAAGCGAGCGCAGACGGUUUAUUAAGUCUGAUGUGAAAUCCCGAGGCCCAACC